UCUGCUAAGAGGUUAUUUGUAGUCUAGCCUGCUCAGUGAUAUUAAUAUUAAAUAGCCGCGGUAUUUUGACCGUGCAAAGGUAGCAUAAUCAAUAGUUUCUUAAUUGGAAGCUUGAAUGAAUGGUUGGACAAAGAAACAACUGUCUCUUCUGUUAAAAUUGAACUUAACUUUUAAGUGAAAAGGCUUGAAUUACCCAGGAAGACGAUAAGACCCUAUAAAGCUUUAUAAGUUUAUAAAUUUUGUAUAUUUAACCUAAAAAUAAUUUUUUAGGUGCUUAUUUGGUUGGGGCGACAAAAGUAUAAUUACAUUGAUUUUUUAUUUAAAAAUAAUGGAUCCUUCUGUGAAGAAUAAAAGUUCAAGUUACUUUAGGGAUAACAGCGUAAUUUUUUCUGAGAGUACCUAUCGAAGGAAAGGUUUGCGACCUCGAUGUUGAAUUAAAAUGUCUUUAUAGUGCAGCAGCUAUAUAAGAAGGUCUGUUCGACCUUUAAUAUUUUACAUGAUUUG
rnacentral:rRNA from 1 species